UACGUAGGGUGCAGGCGUUAAUCGGAAUUACUGGGCGUAAAGGGUGCGCAGGCGGUUUUGCAAGUCAGGCGUGAAAUCCCCGAGCUUAACUUGGGAAUGGCGCUUGAGACUGCAAGGCUAGAGUGUGUCAGAGGGGGGUGGAAUUCCACGUGUAGCAGUGAAAUGCGUAGAGAUGUGGAGGAACACCAAUGGCGAAGGCAGCCCCCUGGGAUAACACUGACGCUCGGGCACGAAAGCGUGGGGAG
rnacentral:rRNA from 1 species